UACGGAGGGGGCUAGCGUUGUUCGGAAUUACUGGGCGUAAAGCGCACGUAGGCGGCUUUGUAAGUUAGAGGUGAAAGCCCGGGGCUCAACUCCGGAAUUGCCUUUAAGACUGCAUCGCUAGAAUUGUGGAGAGGUAAGUGGAAUUCCGAGUGUAGAGGUGAAAUUCGUAGAUAUUCGGAAGAACACCAGUGGCGAAGGCGAGUCUCUGGACAUUUCCUGACGCUGAGGCACGAAAGCCAGGGGAGCAAACGGG
rnacentral:rRNA from 1 species